CGCUGACACACAGUUCAAAAGUCAGUCUCUUAACCGCCUUCAUGUUCUAACACCUCAAACUGUAUCUUCUGCUCACAACUUGGGAAACCAGCAAGGCUGCGAACGCUCUGCUCACUUCCUGCCGCUCCAGACAGUUUACAGUCAGUAAGAUAAAAGGCAAUACAGACUUCCUGUCACAUCUUCCAAUAUUCUCAAUAUCAAUCAAUGGGUCUCCUGAAAACUUCACAACUGCUUUAAAGUACAAAGAGUUCUUCUAAAUUCUGCCUGUAACUGUGACUCCAAGCCCGUGGGAUCUUUCUACUCUACUCU